AGGGUCACAGCUCAGUGGUAUAGCACCUGCUUUGCAUGCAGAUGAUCUCAGGUUUGAACCCUGGUACCUCUA